rnacentral:rRNA from 1 species
UACGGAGGGUGCAAGCGUUGCUCGGAAUUAUUGGGCGUAAAGGGCAAGUAGGUGGUCUCAUUUGUCUGGGGUGAAAGCCUUGAGCUUAACUCAAGAAGUGCCCCGGAAACGGUGAGACUCGAGUACUGGAGAGGGUCGUGGAAUUCCCGGUGUAGCGGUGAAAUGCGUAGAGAUCGGGAGGAACACCUGAGGCGAAGGCGGCGACCUGGACAGUUACUGACACUCAACUGCGAAAGCGUGGGGAGCAAACGGG